rnacentral:rRNA from 1 species
UACGAAGGGGGCUAGCGUUGCUCGGAAUUACUGGGCGUAAAGGGCGCGUAGGCGGAUACUUAAGUUGGGGGUGAAAGCCCGGGGCUCAACCUCGGAAUUGCCUUCAAUACUGGGUAUCUUGAGUUCGGGAGAGGUGAGUGGAACUCCGAGUGUAGAGGUGAAAUUCGUAGAUAUUCGGAAGAACACCAGUGGCGAAGGCGACUCACUGGCCCGAUACUGACGCUAAGGCGCGAAAGCGUGGGGAGCAAACAGG